rnacentral:rRNA from 1 species
UACGGGGGGGGCAAGCGUUUGUUCGGAAUUACUGGGCGUAAAGGGCGCGUAGGCGGCCUUCUAAGUCGAACGUGAAAUCCCCGGGCUCAACCCGGGAACUGCGUCCGAGACUGGAAGGCUCGAAUCCGGGAGAGGGAUGUGGAAUUCCAGGUGUAGCGGUGAAAUGCGUAGAUAUCUGGAGGAACAUCAGUGGCGAAGGCGGCCUGCUGGGCUGUUGCUGACGCUGAGGCGCGACAGCGUGGGGAGCAACAGG